AAAGUGGGCUGUGGAGUCCACAAAUACUCCAGGGUGUGGAGUGCGUCCACUGUAGCUGCACAGUGGACGUAUUUCCUGCAGUAACUCCACAGUGGGUGCACAGUAUAUCCACAGUAGUCUUAUUUCCAAAGUCCACCGUGAAUACAGAAUGCGGAACUACAAAUACAUCACCGUGGAUCCAGAUCCUGGAUUCAAAAGUGCACAUCCUAGAACCACUGUAACUCCACAGUCUGACUAGGGUCUGCACUUAUUUUUAACAUUUUUCCCUAAAAAUUAUGGGUGUCCGUGGGAAAAGUUUUGAAAUCUUCCCGGAAACAUUACUUCCUCCACUUUUUAAUGCCAAAGUGGCCAAGAGACAUCAGAUCUGAUCAUCUCCUGGCCAUUCUGGGUAUCCGUGGGAAUUUUUGAAAAAUCUUUCCGGAAACAUUGCUUCCUCCACUUUUUAAUGCCAAAGUGGCCAAGAGAUUGCAGAUCUGAUCACAGAACUUUCAUCUCCUGGCCAUUCUGGGUAUCCGUGGGAAUUUUUGAAAAAUCUUUCCGGAAACAUUGCUUCCUCCACUUUUUAAUGUCAAAGUGGCCAAGAGACUUCAGAUCUGAUCACAGAACUGUCAUCUCCUGGCCAUUCUGGGUAUCCGUGGGAAUUUUUGAAAAAUCUUUCCGGAAACAUUGCAUCCUCCACUUUUUAAUGCCAAAGUGGCCAAGAGAUUGCAGAUCUGAUCACAGAACUUUCAUCUCCUGGCCAUUCUGGGUAUCCGUGGGAAUUUUUGAAAAAUCUUUCCGGAAACAUUGCUUCCUCCACUUUUUAAUGUCAAAGUGGCCAAGAGACUUCAGAUCUGAUCACAGAACUGUCAUCUCCUGGCCAUUCUGGGUAUCCGUGGGAAUUUUUGAAAAAUCUUUCCGGAAACAUUGCAUCCUCCACUUUUUAAUGCCAAAGUGGCCAAGAGAUUGCAGAUCUGAUCACAGAACUUUCAUCUCCUGGCCAUUCUGGGUAUCCGUGGGAAUUUUUGAAAAAAUCUUUCCGGGAACAUUACUUCCUCCACUUUUUAAUGCCAAAGUGGUCAAGAGAUUUCAGAUCUGGUCACAGAACUUUCAUCUCUUGGCCACUUUGGGUAUCCCUCGGAAAUUUUUUUAGUGUUUCCGCCAAAUAUCUGCGCGGCGCUAGUGUUUGUGCAAAAAAAUGCAAAAAUGGUGGAACGCGCUGACGCUGUGAUGGAAAUUCUCAAUUUUUGGUGGAAAAAAGCAUUGUUAUGUUUUUUUUCUUCUUCCCGAGCGUUCUGGACUUUAAAACAACACCAAAGUACUCCGGAAAGUACUAAAUAUCAUAUUACCAGCGUAAUGCCGUACAUGAAUAACAAUCCGGCAGCCAGACAGCGGCAUCAGCUGCGCGCAAUCACCAUUGACUUCUUCCGGAAGCUGAAGAGUAUGGUAUGCAGACGUACAAAGUGAUGAAAGCAAAGCCCGAACAUGCAGCCCUCGUGGACUUUAUGCUCUGGCUGGGGGAGCAGAUGGCACGCAAUCUCGGUUCCAAGGGCAUCAUUAUGCUCUAACAUGAGCAAUGAAAAUUUGUGCCCUACGUCUUCAUGGAAGCGCUCAAGAAGCACGACAUUCUCCCAAGCUUCAAAACCUCCGUUGUCGGCUUCACAAAUGUCUACCCACUGGCUGAGAAUUAACGUGAGGUGACUUUGAAAUAUUUCAUCUUGAGGAACUCAGAAGGUCAUCUUGAAAUGCGAUGAAGAUGAUAGGAAUAAGUUUGAGGGUAGUGCCAAGAUACGCUCAAACAUUGUCUAUUAUGUCGAAGAUUUUGGUAAAUAAACCAUCUCCAGCUACUGUUGAGGUAAAGAAGGAAGAUGUUAAAUCUGCUGCAGCGUAGCAACCGGAAGCAGAUGUUUAGGAGAAUGGUGUACAAAAGCAGAACGUUCAAAAGCAAAAGCCAGAGCUACAGAAGCAGCUAGUUGAGGAAGGAGAAGAGCGUAAUAAGGUGAAGGAAGCUGCUCAGGAGGUUGUUGAAAUGCUCUAUGUACCUGAGAUGCAGAGAGAAAAAGCCAAACUGGCUGUUAUGUCAGUUUUGAAGGAACAGAGAAGGAGCGAACAGUUGUCUUCCAUCGUGUUAUCACGGGCAUGGCGACGACAAUUGAGAAGAACUUCCAGGAAUUGGGUGAGCAGCAAACAUUCUGGACAGGCAGAAUUCUCUAAGAAUUGUUGUCGAUUACUUCAGGACUAUUCUCUAUACCAUCGUGAGGAGUGUCAUCUUUCAACGUUUCUUGGCGGAACAGGGCUUCGACAUGACAAAGUUGCAGGACAUCUGGGGGAAGGACAAACACGAUGGUAUCAAAGUGGCCAUUGCGGGGCUACGGGAACUCAAGGAGGAUGACAAGAAGGACCUAAUGGAUCUCCUUGAUUGUCAUUUUGAUCCGGAAAAGCAGCAAGAGGCGCUUUCAGAAGAGACAAACGUCGUGAAAGGGAAAUAUUGGAAAAGGAAAUAAUCAACAGAGAAACAAUCAGCAGCAUCACAAUGGUGAAAACCAUCAGGAUAACAACAAGAACAUGGCAACAAUUAUCAGGGUGGUCGCACCAGGGUAAAAAAAUUAUUUAACUUGUAGAAAAAAAAAGAUCUCUGGGUAUUUUAAAGGAAACAGAAAAGAAUCUUUUCAAAAUAUUUAAUUAAUUAAUUUCUUAAAAAUAGGAUCGUUUUCUUUAAAGAAUUUUUAAAUUAAAAAUGAUUCUUUUUCUCCUUAAGAACUUUUGAGUAUUUUGAAGGAGAAAGAAUUCUUGAAUUAAUUUGUUAAGAAAGAUCUUUUUCUUCUUAAGAACUUUUGGGUUAUUUGAAGGUCAUAAAAUUCUUGAAUUAAUUUGUUAAGAAAGAUCUUUUUCUUCUUAAGAACUUUUGAGUAUUUUGAAGGAGAAAGAAUUCUUGAAUUAAUUUGUUAAGAAAGAUCUUUUUCUUCUUAAGAACUUUUGGGUUAUUUGAAGGUCAUAAAAUUCUUGAAUUAAUUUGUGAAGAAAGAUCUUUUUCUUCUUAAGAACUUUUGAGUAUUUUGAAGGAGAUAAAAUUCAUGAAUUAAUUUGUUUAGAACGAUCUUUUUCUUCUUAAGAACUUUUGGGUUAUUUGAAGGUCAUAAAAUUCUUGAAUUAAUUUGUUAAGAAAGAUCUUUUUCUUCUUAAGAACUUUUGAGUAUUUUGAAGGAGAAAGAAUUCUUGAAUUAAUUUGUUAAGAAAGAUCUUUUUCUUCUUAAGAACUUUUGGGUUAUUUGAAGGUCAUAAAAUUCUUGAAUUAAUUUGUGAAGAAAGAUCUUUUUCUUCUUAAGAACUUUUGAGUAUUUUGAAGGAGAUAAAAUUCUUGAAUUAAUUUGUUUAGAACGAUCUUUUUCUUCUUAAGAACUUUUGGGUUAUUUGAAGGUCAUAAAAUUCUUGAAUUAAUUUGUUAAGAAAGAUCUUUUUUCUUUUAAAAAAUUCUUGAAUUAAAAAUGAUUCAUUUUCUUCUUAAGAACUUUUGAGUAUUUUGAAAGAGAAGGAAUUCUUGAAUUAAUUUGUUAAGAAAGAUCUUCUUUUCUUAAGAACUUUUGAGUAUUUUGAAGGAGAUAAAAUUAUUGAAUUAAUUUGUUAAGAAAGAUCUUUUUCCUUUUAAAAAAUUUUUGUAUUAUAAAUGAUUCUUUUUCUUAAGAACUUUUGAAUAUUUUAAAGGAGAUAAAAUUCUUGAAUAAUUUGUUAGGAAAGAUCUUUUUAUUCUAAAGAACUUUAGAGUAUUUUGAAAGAGAAAGAAUUCUUGAAUUAAUUUGUAAGGAAAGAUCUUUUUCCUUUUAAAAAAUUCUUGAACUAAAAAUGAUUCAUUUUCUUCUUAAGAACUUUUGAGUAUUUUGAAAGAGAAGGAAUUCUUGAAUUAAUUUGUUAAGAAAGAUCUUCUUUUCUUAAGAACUUUUGAGUAUUUUGAAGGAGAUAAAAUUAUUGAAUUAAUUUGUUAAGAAAGAUCUUUUUCCUUUUAAAAAAUUUUUGUAUUAUAAAUGAUUCUUUUUCUUAAGAACUUUUGAAUAUUUUAAAGGAGAUAAAAUUCUUGAAUAAUUUGUUAGGAAAGAUCUUUUUAUUCUAAAGAACUUUUGAGUAUUUUGAAAGAGAAAGAAUUCUUGAAUUAAUUUGUUAAGAAAGAUCUUUUUCCUUUUAAAAAAUUCUUGAACUAAAAAUGAUUCAUUUUCUUCUUAAGAACUUUUGAGUAUUUUGAAAGAGAAGGAAUUCUUGAAUUAAUUUGUUAAGAAAAAUCUUUUUCCUUUGAAAGAAUUCUUGUAUUAUAAAUGAUUCUUUUUCUUCUUAAGAACUUUUGA